rnacentral:rRNA from 1 species
GACGAACGCUGGCGGCGUGCUUAACACAUGCAAGUCGAACGGAAAGGCCCUGCUUUUGUGGGGUGCUCGAGUGGCGAACGGGUGAGUAACACGUGAGUAACCUGCCCUUGACUUUGGGAUAACUUCAGGAAACUGGGGCUAAUACCGGAUAGGUGAUCCUGCUGCAUGGUGGGGGUUGGAAAGUUUCGGCGGUUGGGGAUGGACGCGGGGCUUAUCAGGUUGUUGGGGGGGUAGUGGCUUACCAAGGCUUUGAAGGGUAGCCGGCCUGAGGGUGACCGGCCACCUUGCGACUGAGAUACGGCCCGGAGUCGUACGGGAGGCAGCAGUGGGGAAUAUUGCACAAUGGGCGGAAGCCUGAUGCAGCAACGCCGCGUGCGGGAUGACGGCCUUCGGGUGGUAGACCGCUUUCGCCUGUGACGAAGCGUUAGUGACGGUAAUGGGCAAAGAAGCACCGGCUAACUACGUG